UAUCUCCACAGAACUCAGAGGGUCCAAUCCA
rnacentral:piRNA from 1 species